rnacentral:rRNA from 1 species
AGUGAACGCUGGCGGCAGGCCUAACACAUGCAAGUCGAACGGCAGCACAGUAAGAUCUUGCUCUUACGGGUGGCGAGUGGCGGACGGGUGAGGAAUACAUCGGAAUCUACUUUUUCGUGGGGGAUAACGUAGGGAAACUUACGAUAAUACCGCAUAUGACCUACGGGUGUAAGCAGGGGAUCGUCGCACCUUGCGCGAUUGAAUGAGCCGAUGUCGGAUUGGCUAGUUGGCGGGGGAACGGCCCACCAAGGCGACGAUGCGUAGCUGGUGUGAGAGGAUGAUCGGCGACACUGGAACUGAGACACGGUCCAGACUCCUACGGGAGGCAGCAGUGGGGAAUAUUGGGCAAUGGGCGCAAGCCUGAUCCAGCCAUACCGCGUGGGUGAAGAAGGCCUUCGGGUUGUAAAGCCCUUUUGUUGGGAAAGAAAAGCAGCAGGUUAAUACCCCGCUGUUCUGACGGUACCCAAAGAAUAAGCACCGGCUAACUACGUG